rnacentral:lncRNA from 1 species
UUGAAGUGUGGUGAAUUUUUGAGAAUUUUUGAGAAGAUGUUGAAAUUGCCUUUGUGAAUGUGUGUGUGUGUGUGUGUGUUGCUAUUAUCACAAUGAAAAGGCAUUGCAACGAUGAAAUAAAUGCAAAGAUCGAAUAGAAGUUUGUUUAACCAAAUCACCUUCCUAGUGGCUACAGUCAUAACCCAGUAUUCCGCGACUUCCCAUAUCAAUGUUCUCUCCUUUGAAGUAGGUUUUUUCUUGUCAUUCCAACAAACUUACGCGCCUGUUCCAAUUUGGAAUUCUAGGUUCUUCAAUGAGAUAGUGGAAUAGGAGAAAGCUAAACCACACAUGUAUGAUGGGGUUGACACUGGGCCAUGGUGAGCAUGACUCGAGCCAUUAUGGCUCAUGUUUGGAAAUCGGCCUUGCACGCAUGAUCACAAACAGGGGAGAAAUUUUCUCCUAUGGCAAAAUUUAUCUGUUGGAGUCCCUCGACCACCCAAACCAUGAUUUUUGUACAAAAAAGUGUAUAAAAGGUACGUACAAUUAGUAUUAUUCUUUUGACAAUUGAUUAGUAGAAAAUUGAAAUAAAGGAAAUAUUAGGGCUGUUUGGUUUGUGUUUGGUUUUUAGAUUUGAAUUUUGAAGCUAUUUUCAAUUUUUUUGCUUU